rnacentral:rRNA from 2 species
CAUGCAAGUCGAACGAUGAAGCCCAGCUUGCUGGGUGGAUUAGUGGCGAACGGGUGAGUAACACGUGAGCAACCUGCCCCUGACUCUGGGAUAAGCGCUGGAAACGGCGUCUAAUACUGGAUAUGUCCCGUCACCGCAUGGUGUGCGGGUGGAAAGAUUUUUCGGUUGGGGAUGGGCUCGCGGCCUAUCAGCUUGUUGGUGAGGUAAUGGCUCACCAAGGCGUCGACGGGUAGCCGGCCUGAGAGGGUGACCGGCCACACUGGGACUGAGACACGGCCCAGACUCCUACGGGAGGCAGCAGUGGGGAAUAUUGCACAAUGGGCGGAAGCCUGAUGCAGCAACGCCGCGUGAGGGAUGACGGCCUUCGGGUUGUAAACCUCUUUUAGCAGGGAAGAAGCGAGAGUGACGGUACCUGCAGAAAAAGCACCGGCUAACUACGUGCCAGCAGCCGCGGUAAUACGUAGGGUGCAAGCGUUAUCCGGAAUUAUUGGGCGUAAAGAGCUCGUAGGCGGUCUGUCGCGUCUGCUGUGAAAUCCCGAGGCUCAACCUCGGGCUUGCAGUGGGUACGGGCAGACUAGAGUGCGGUAGGGGAGAUUGGAAUUCCUGGUGUAGCGGUGGAAUGCGCAGAUAUCAGGAGGAACACCGAUGGCGAAGGCAGAUCUCUGGGCCGUAACUGACGCUGAGGAGCGAAAGGGUGGGGAGCAAACAGGCUUAGAUACCCUGGUAGUCCACCCCGUAAACGUUGGGAACUAGUUGUGGGGUCCUUUCCACGGAUUCCGUGACGCAGCUAACGCAUUAAGUUCCCCGCCUGGGGAGUACGGCCGCAAGGCUAAAACUC